rnacentral:rRNA from 1 species
UACAGAGGGGCGAGCGUUGUUCGGAAUUACUGGGCGUAAAGCGUGCGCAGGCGGUGAUGUAAGACAGGUGUGAAAUCCCCGGGCUUAACCUGGGAACUGCAUUUGUGACUGCAUCGCUGGAGUGCGGCAGAGGGGGAUGGAAUUCCGCGUGUAGCAGUGAAAUGCGUAGAUAUGCGGAGGAACACCGAUGGCGAAGGCAAUCCCCUGGGCCUGCACUGACGCUCCAUGCACGAAAGCGUGGGGAGCAAACAGG